AGCGAACGCUGGCGGCAGGCCUAACACAUGCAAGUCGAGCGGCAGCGCGGGGGCAACCCUGGCGGCGAGCGGCGGACGGGUGAGGAAUUCGUCGGAAUCUGCCUUUUUGUGGGGGAUAACGUAGGGAAACUUACGCUAAUACCGCAUACGUCCUACGGGAGAAAGUGGGGGACCGCAAGGCCUCACGCAGAAAGAUGAGCCGACGACCGAUUAGCUAGUUGGUGGGGUAAAGGCCCACCAAGGCGACGAUCGGUAGCUGGUCUGAGAGGAUGAUCAGCCACACUGGGACUGAGACACGGCCCAGACUCCUACGGGAGGCAGCAGUGGGGAAUAUUGGACAAUGGGCGCAAGCCUGAUCCAGCCAUGCCGCGUGUGUGAAGAAGGCCUUCGGGUUGUAAAGCACUUUUGUCCGGAAAGAAAUCCCUGGAGCUAAUACCUUCGGGGGAUGACGGUACCGGAAGAAUGAGCACCGGCUAACUUCGUG
rnacentral:rRNA from 1 species